rnacentral:rRNA from 1 species
AGAGUUUGAUCAUGGCUCAGGAUGAACGCUAGCGGCAGGCUUAACACAUGCAAGUCGAGGGGCAUCGCGGGGUAGCAAUACUCUGGCGGCGACCGGCGGAAGGGUGCGUAACGCGUGAGCAACUUGCCCGUCACUGGGGGAUAGGCACUGGAAACGGUGUGUAAUACUCCAUAACAUAUGGAUUCACAUGGAUUUAUAUUGAAAGAUUCGUUGGUGACGGAUGGGCUCGCGUAACAUUAGCUAGUCGGCGGGGUAACGGCCCACCGAGGCUACGAUGUUUAGGGGUUCUGAGAGGAAGGUCCCCCACACUGGAACUGAGACACGGUCCAGACUCCUACGGGAGGCAGCAGUGAGGAAUAUUGGUCAAUGGGCGGAAACCUGAACCACCAUGCCGCGUGCAGGAAUAAAGGCCUAUGGGUCGUAAACUGCUUUUCUUUAGGGCAAUAAGGUCACGUGUGGC